rnacentral:rRNA from 1 species
GACGGGGCCCGCACAAGCGGUGGAGCAUGUGGUUUAAUUCGAAGCAACGCGAAGAACCUUACCAGGUCUUGACAUCCCGAUGCUAUUUCUAGAGAUAGAAAGUUACUUCGGUACAUCGGUGACAGGUGCUGCAUGGCCGUCGUCAGCUCGUGCCGUGAGGUGUUGGGUUAAGUCCCGCAACGAGCGCAACCCCGCCGUUAGUUGCCAGCGGUUCGGCCGGGCACUCUAACGGGACUGCCCGCGAAAGCGGGAGGAAGGAGGGGACGACGUCUGGUCAGCAUGGCCCUUAUGGCCUGGGCGACACACGUGCUACAAUGCCCACUACAAAGCGAUGCCACCCGGCAACGGGGAGCUAAUCGCAAAAAGGUGGGCCCAGUUCGGAUUGGGGUCUGCAACCCGACCCCAUGAAGCCGGAAUCGCUAGUAAUCGCGGAUCAGCCAUGCCGCGGUGAAUACGUUCCCGGGCCUU